rnacentral:rRNA from 1 species
UACGGGGGGAGCAAGCGUUGUUCGGAUUUACUGGGCGUAAAGGGCGCGUAGGCGGCCACCGCAAGUCGACUGUGAAAUCUCCGGGCUUAACUCGGAAAGGUCAGCCGAUACUGCGGGGCUAGAGUGCAGAAGGGGCAACUGGAAUUCUCGGUGUAGCGGUGAAAUGCGUAGAUAUCGAGAGGAACACCUGCGGCGAAAGCGACUCUCUGGCCUGUAACUGACGCUGAGGCGCGAAAGCUAGGGGAGCAAACGGG